UACGAAGGGGGCUAGCGUUGCUCGGAAUCACUGGGCGUAAAGGGUGCGUAGGCGGGUCUUUUAAGUCAGGGGGUGAAAUCCUGGAGCUCAACUCCCAGAACUGCCUUUGAUACUGAAGAUCUUGAGUUCGGGGAGAGGGUGAGUGGAACUGCGAGUGUAGAGGUGAAAUUCGUAGAUAUUCGCAAGAACACCAGUGGCGAAGGC
rnacentral:rRNA from 1 species